rnacentral:rRNA from 1 species
UGGGGAAUAUUGCACAAUGGGGGAAACCCUGAUGCAGCGACGCCGCGUGGAGGAAGAAGGUUUUCGGAUUGUAAACUCCUGUCUUCGGGGACGAUAAUGACGGUACCCGAGGAGGAAGCCACGGCUAACUACGUGCCAGCAGCCGCGGUAAAACGUAGGUGGCAAGCGUUGUCCGGAAUUACUGGGUGUAAAGGGAGCGCAGGCGGGUCGGCAAGUUGGAGGUGAAAGCUGUGGGCUCAACUCACAAACUGCCUUCAAAACUGCCGGUCUUGAGUGGUGUAGAGGUAGGCGGAAUUCCCGGUGUAGCGGUGGAAUGCGUAGAUAUCGGGAGGAACACCAGUGGCGAAGGCGGCCUACUGGGCACUAACUGACGCUGAGGCUCGAAAGCAUGGGUAGCAAACAGGAUUAGAUACCCUGGUAGU